rnacentral:lncRNA from 1 species
GUUCUGUUAAAUUGUUCCUUUUAAAAUUGUUAAACGAUGAUGACUGAUGUACCCAUAUUUUGACUAUUUUAUUUAUUGUGUCUGUUUAUUUAAGCAUCAAUGUAAAAAUAUCGGAAAUUGAUGAGACUGUCAUUAAAGUGAGAAGGUUAGCGCUAUAGAACCAGGUUUAAUCCACCAUUUUCUACAUUUGAAAAUGCCUGUACCAAGUCAGGAAUAUGACAGUUCUUG